UGGCAACACCCUGAGUAAAGCGGCGAACGGGUGAGUAACGCGUGGGUAAUCUACCCUUUAGUCUGGGAUAACCUCUCGAAAGGGGGGCUAAUACCGGAUGAUGUCCUCAUGGGGCAUCCCAAGGGGAGCAAAGGGGGCGCCCGCAAGGAGCUCUCGCUAAAGGAGGAACCUGCGUCCGAUUAGCUAGUUGGCGGGGUAACGGCCCACCAAGGCGACGAUCGGUAGCCGGCCUGAGAGGGUGACCGGCCACACUGGGACUGAGACACGGCCCAGACUCCUACGGGAGGCAGCAGUGGGGAAUCUUGCGCAAUGGGCGAAAGCCUGACGCAGCGACGCCGUGUGGGGGACGAAGGCCUUCGGGUUGUAAACCCCUGUCGGGUGGAACGAAUCCCCGCCCCUCUAAUACAGGGGCGGGUUGACGGUACCGCCGGAGGAAGCCCCGGCUAACUACGUGCCAGCAGCCGCGGUAAUACGUAGGGGGCGAGCGUUGCUCGGAUUUACUGGGCGUAAAGAGCGCGUAGGCGGCUAGGGAAGUCUGGUGUGAAAUCCCUCGGCUCAACCGAGGACCCGCACUGGAAACUCCCUGGCUUGAGUCCAGGAGGGGAGGGUGGAAUUCCCGGUGUAGCGGUGAAAUGCGUAGAGAUCGGGAGGAACACCGGUGGCGAAGGCGGCCCUCUGGAAUGGCACUGACGCUGAGGCGCGAAAGCUGGGGGAGCAAACGGGAUUAGAUACCCCGGUAGUCCCAGCCGUAAACGAUGGGCGCUAGGUGUGGGAGGUAUUGAUCCCUUCCGUGCCGCAGCUAACGCAUUAAGCGCCCCGCCUGGGGAGUACGACCGCAAGGUUGAAACUCAAAGGAAUUGACGGGGGCCCGCACAAGCGGUGGAGCAUGUGGUUUAAUUCGACGCAACGCGAAGAACCUUACCAGGGCUUGACAUGCCCGGUAGUACCGACCUGAAAA
rnacentral:rRNA from 1 species